GUGCCUGUAGCUCAGUUGGAUAGAGCGUGAGGUUGCGGACCUCAAGGUCGUGGGUUCGAAUCCCUCCAGGCACGCCA
rnacentral:tRNA from 1 species